rnacentral:rRNA from 1 species
GAUGAACGCUGGCGGCGUGCCUAAUACAUGCAAGUCGAGCGAACAGACGAGGAGCUUGCUCCUCUGACGUUAGCGGCGGACGGGUGAGUAACACGUGGAUAACCUACCUAUAAGACUGGGAUAACUUCGGGAAACCGGAGCUAAUACCGGAUAAUAUAUUGAACCGCAUGGUUCAAUAGUGAAAGACGGUUUUGCUGUCACUUAUAGAUGGAUCCGCGCCGCAUUAGCUAGUUGGUAAGGUAACGGCUUACCAAGGCAACGAUGCGUAGCCGACCUGAGAGGGUGAUCGGCCACACUGGAACUGAGACACGGUCCAGACUCCGACGGGAGGCAGCAGUAGGGAAUCUUCCGCAAUGGGCGAAAGCCUGAUGGAGCAACGCCGCGUGAGUGAUGAAGGUCUUCGGAUCGUAAAACUCUGUUAUUAGGGAAGAACAAAUGUGUAAGUAACUAUGCACGUCUUGACGGUACCUAAUCAGAAAGCCACGGCUAACUACGUG